GAGGGUGUAGCUCAACUGGUAGAGCACAUGCUUAGCACACACAAGGUCCUGGUUUCAAUCCCCAGUACCUCCU
rfam:Camelus ferus unplaced genomic scaffold scaffold1085, whole genome shotgun sequence.